rnacentral:rRNA from 1 species
AACGAACGCUGGCGGCAUGCCUAACACAUGCAAGUCGAACGAGACCUUCGGGUCUAGUGGCGCACGGGUGCGUAGCGCGUGGGAACCUGCCCUUAGGUUCGGAAUAACUCCCCGAAAGGGGUGCUAAUACCGGAUAAUGUCUUCGGACCAAAGAUUUAUCGCCUUUGGAUGGGCCCGCGUUGGAUUAGCUAGUUGGUAGGGUAAAAGCCUACCAAGGCGACGAUCCAUAGCUGGUCUGAGAGGAUGAUCAGCCACACUGGGACUGAGACACGGCCCAGACUCCUACGGGAGGCAGCAGUGGGGAAUAUUGGACAAUGGGCGAAAGCCUGAUCCAGCAAUGCCGCGUGAGUGAUGAAGGCCUUAGGGUUGUAAAGCUCUUUUACCCGGGAUGAUAAUGACAGUACCGUGAGAAUAAGCUCCGGCUAACUCCGUG